rnacentral:ncRNA from 1 species
CUGGUUUUCCAGGCAAAUCCGGAAAAUCAAGGCUGAGGCGUGAUGACGAGGCACUACGGUGCUGAAGCAACAAAUGCCCUGCUUCCAGGAAAAGCCUCUAAGCAUCAGGUAACAUCAAAUCGUACCCCAAACCGACACAGGUGGUCAGGUAGAGAAUACCAAGGCGCUUGAGAGAACUCGGGUGAAGGAACUAGGCAAAAUGGUGCCGUAACUUCGGGAGAAGGCACGCUGAUAUGUAGGUGAAGUCCCUCGCGGAUGGAGCUGAAAUCAGUCGAAGAUACCAGCUGGCUGCAACUGUUUA